rnacentral:rRNA from 1 species
GACGAACGCUGGCGGCGUGCUUAACACAUGCAAGUCGAACGGAAAGGCCCUGCUUUUGUGGGGUGCUCGAGUGGCGAACGGGUGAGUAACACGUGAGUAACCUGCCCUUGACUUUGGGAUAACUUCAGGAAACUGGGGCUAAUACCGGAUCGGAGCUCCUGCUGCAUGGUGGGGGUUGGAAAGUUUCGGCGGUUGGGGAUGGACUCGCGGGUUAUCAGCUUGUUGGUGGGGUAGUGGCUUACCAAGGCUUUGACGGGUAGCCGGCCUGAGAGGGUGACCGGCCACAUGGGGACUGAGAGACGGCGCAGACGCGUACGUGAGGCAGCAGGGGGGAAUAUUGCACAAUGGGCGGAAGCCUGAGGCAGCAACGCCGCGGGCGGGAUGCCGGCCUUCGGGGUGUAAACCGCUUUCGCCUGUGACGAAGCGUGAGUGACGGUAAUGGGUAAAGAAGCACCGGCUAACUACGUG